ensembl:lncRNA
UCGUUAACAUUCUUCCCAAAACCCGCAGAUACGGGGACAGAUCAGCCUGUAGUAACGAUUCUGGUAAGGGGGCGUCAUCCGUUAAACGUGUGCAUUUUGGAUUUGCAAUUCUGCCAUAUAAACGCUCACGACAUCACUGUGAUCUGAAGACGCUCAUAAGGUCAGGCAAUCGGCGAAGAACUGCGAGGACGGGAAAUUAAAUUGAUCCGAAAACCAGUGUCCAAAAAGAAGCUUCCCAAAAAAUGAACAUCUGUUCCAUUGAAUCAGCGCUCCUGUCAACCAGUUGUGGAAAGUAUGUGUGCAUUGAAGGCAGGCGCAGACGCAGGCCCAGUCAAUCUCUUGAGCUGGUCAUGGAAAAUCGACAGGAAAAAGACCUUGAAAACUCAUCUAAAGUCAAGGUGUAUCAUAUUUUGUAUGGAACCAGAAAAUGCAUGGCUUUUUGCUUUGAGGUGAAUAAAAAGUCAGUUUUCCCUGUUGUUACUCAUGGUAAAGAGGUCAAAUUUAAGGUUUUACCCACAGACAAGCCGAUCACGGCAGGAAUCUUUGACCAAACGUUCUUAUUUCAAUGGGAUGAGCAAGACAGGCAUGGAGACUGGAAGAGUUUGAAAUCAGUGGCUGAACCCAGCAUGUACUUGAUUGAUGAAGAAAAUGGCAAAGAAAAGAGCAAAGUGAUCAUCACAAAUGAGCGGAGUCCGAUUUUUAAAAUCUGUUACUCAGAUAUGAAAAUAGCAGAUAAUGGGUUGCAGAGUCUCUGUAGAUCAGGCAAAUUCCAAGAGAACACGAUGAAAACUUCAUGCAGAAAGACCCCCUGGCAAAGACGAGCCUCAAAACAGGGACCUUCUUGCUGCAAGAGAGCAGCACCCACUAAGCCACUGUGCUGCCCUGAAAGGUAACUAUUCUUAUUUGUAGACUUCACGUUUGUAAAGAGCACUGCUAUAAAAAGUGCUAUAUCGUUGUAUAUCGUUUCAGACACCCAAAAAUGCUUUUAAAAAAGUGAAUAACUUAUACCAUAAAGAUAUAAUUUAUGAUUGUCUCAUUGACUGUUCUUUAAAAAACACUUUUGAGCAUAUUUAAACAAGCCUUGAAAUAGUGAGUAGGCUAUUAGUACGCAGUAUCCUCUCCAAUUUCAUUUACUUGCUUUUUAUGCUGAUCAACUUCCAUCGACAUUAACCCUGUAAAGCCUGACAUGAAAUAACAGCCUGAAAAAAAUCACAUUUUUUGAAAUGGAACACUUUGUUGAGCCUUUAGACAAAUAAAAAAAAAGUGUCAGGCUUUUAUGGAAAAAAAGCACCUCAAUUUUAUUUACAGGCUCAAAAAUAUGUAAUUUGGUACAAUUGCUGAUGGAUCAUAUUUGAUACUUGUGAUUUUUCAUGUAUGAAUAAUCAAGUAAACCUAAGUUGCUUAAGUUCAUUAAAGGUGAACUAAGCGAUUUUUGCCAAAUGAUGUUGAUAUUUGAAAGCACCAAAACAAACAUGCCCAUACCCCAACAGGCCCCCGCCCCUAUUUUGAUAACUCCGCCCCACACGUACGUACACAACCCUGCCAGCGACGAUGGCGGUAUCUGCUAUGCCUGCCGACCGCAGCAUAUUCGAACAAAAGCCAACACAGAAUAGUCGUGUGAAAAAGCAAAAUCAAUGUAACUC